AUACGGAGGGUGCGAGCGUUAAUCGGAAUUACUGGGCGUAAAGGGUGCGUAGGCGGCUUGAUAAGUCGGAUGUGAAAGCCCCGGGCUUAACCUGGGAAUUGCAUUCGAUACUGUCAGGCUAGAGUAUGUCAGAGGUUGGCGGAAUUCCUGGUGUAGCGGUGAAAUGCGUAGAUAUCAGGAGGAACACCAGUGGCGAAGGCGGCUAACUUGGGCAAUACUGACGCUGAGGCACGAAAGCGUGGGGAGCAAACAGGAUUAGAAACCCUAGUAGUCC
rnacentral:rRNA from 1 species